GGUUGAUAUCUUUGGCGGAAGUACAUGUGAUACAUCCUCAUUCUUUCAAUAUCCAAGCUGUGGGAAGGUCGUGCUCCACGUGUUGUCGGCAAAGUAACUAUAUUCUUUAACUUUUACUUACAUUUGCCUUGGUGGCAAUAUAGCCUUGGUGGCUUUAAGACCUUGGUGGUCAUUUAUAUAUGCCUUGGUGGCAAAAGACCUAGGUGGUCAUUUAUAUAUGCCUUGGUGGCAAUAGACCUAGGUGGUCAUUUUUAUAUGCCUUGGUGGCAAUAGACCUAGGUGGUCAUUUUUAUGAUUUUUUACAUUUGCCUUGAUGGCAACAAUGAAUUAAAAAUACUAGCCUUGGGGGCGUCAAGACCUUGGUGGUCAUUUAUAUUCGCCUUGGCGGCUUCUUGAUAGAACUAGAUGGUAAUGUUUGACCUUGGUGGCAAAAUGUUUUGGGAUUUAGACCUUGGGUAGUUAUUAUCAACCCAGGUGGUCAGAUAUUUUGUUAUGCCGUGCGCCGGUUAAACGCAGGGCAAAGUGCUAUCGCUAUAUAAAAUAUAUGUGGAAGUGGGGGCUCUGGCCAUUUUGGAAAAUUGUAGUUGAAAGGAGAAUAAUAAAUUGUUUAUAGGGUAAAUAGUUUCUUUUGUUACUUUUGACUGUGUUGUGGACUUUUCAUUUAUUUUUACAUCGUACAUACUGAUAGAAAUGCUAUUUAAAGACUUUGUUAGAAAAGAAUAGAAUUAUUGAGAAAGUGGAAUAAUUUAGUGUGACAUGUCACUUGAUAUUCAUGUUUUUUUAUCGGAGUGAUGUGUAUUGAAUUAUAAGGUGUCUUCGUCGAGGUCCGCGUUCAGCGGUCUGUUUGAUUGUACAUAGAAUUGAAUAGAAUGUUUUUGUUUUCAGAUGGUGUUACCUACAGCUUUGACAGGGUGACGAAUGAAGGAGAAGUAAUAUGACAUUGCACGAUGAUUCAUGUCAAUGAGUUCGAACAACCUUUUUAAAAGGAAAGGAUUUUUUCUAAUCAGAAUAUGGUGAGAACAAAUUGCAAUUGAAGUAAUGUUUUGAUUUCUGAAAAUAGGAAAAUAAUGAAUGGGGAAAAUAUUGAUACUACACUAAAUUAUGUAUGUCUGUGUUGAGAAAGGCAGAAGAUGCCAAUAUGGCACGGUACUAAAAAAAAA
rnacentral:lncRNA from 1 species